AUACGAAAGGUGCAGGCGUUGUUCGGAUUUACUGGGCGUAAAGAGAUCGUAGGUGGUUUAUUAAGUCGGAUGUGAAAUCCCGGGGCUCAACCCCGGAACUGCAUUCGAUACUGGUAGACUAGAGUUUGGGAGGGGUAAGCGGAAUUCCGUGUGUAGCAGUGAAAUGCGUAGAUAUACGGAGGAACACCUGAGGCGAAGGCGGCUUACUGGACCAAUACUGACACUGAGGAUCGAAAGCGUGGGUAGCAAACAGGAUUAGAAACCCUAGUAGUCC
rnacentral:rRNA from 1 species